UACAGAGGGUGCAAGCGUUGUUCGGAAUUAUUGGGCGUAAAGCGCGUGUAGGCGGCCUAGCAAGUUGGGUGUGAAAGCCCUCGGCUUAACCGAGGAAGUGCGCCCAAAACUACUAGGCUUGAGUACCGGAGAGGAUGGCGGAAUUCCCGGUGUAGAGGUGAAAUUCGUAGAUAUCGGGAGGAACACCAGUGGCGAAGGCGGCCAUCUGGACGGAUACUGACGCUGAGACGCGAAAGCGUGGGGAGCAAACAGG
rnacentral:rRNA from 1 species